AAAUUGAAGAGUUUGAUCAUGGCUCAGAUUGAACGCUGGCGGCAGGCCUAACACAUGCAAGUCGAGCGGUAGCACAGAGAGCUUGCUCUCGGGUGACGAGCGGCGGACGGGUGAGUAAUGUCUGGGAAACUGCCUGAUGGAGGGGGAUAACUACUGGAAACGGUAGCUAAUACCGCAUAACGUCGCAAGACCAAAGUGGGGGAC
rnacentral:rRNA from 1 species